CGAGCGGCGGACGGGUGAGUAAUGCCUAGGAAAUUGCCCUGAUGUGGGGGAUAACCAUUGGAAACGAUGGCUAAUACCGCAUGAUGCCUACGGGCCAAAGAGGGGGACCUUCGGGCCUCUCGCGUCAGGAUAUGCCUAGGUGGGAUUAGCUAGUUGGUGAGGUAAGGGCUCACCAAGGCGACGAUCCCUAGCUGGUCUGAGAGGAUGAUCAGCCACACUGGAACUGAGACACGGUCCAGACUCCUACGGGAGGCAGCAGUGGGGAAUAUUGCACAAUGGGCGCAAGCCUGAUGCAGCCAUGCCGCGUGUGUGAAGAAGGCCUUCGGGUUGUAAAGCACUUUCAGUCGUGAGGAAGGUGGGGUAGUUAAUAGCUGCAUUAUUUGACGUUAGCGACAGAAGAAGCACCGGCUAACUCCGUGCCAGCAGCCGCGGUAAUACGGAGGGUGCGAGCGUUAAUCGGAAUUACUGGGCGUAAAGCGCAUGCGGGUGGUUUGUUAAGUCAGAUGUGAAAGCCCGGGGCUCAACCUCGGAAUAGCAUUUGAAACUGGCAGACUAGAGUACUGUAGAGGGGGGUAGAAUUUCACGUGUAGCGGUGAAAUGCGUAGAGAUCUACAGGAAUACCGGUGGCGAAGGCGGCCCCCUGGACAUAUACUGACACUCAGAUACUAAAGCGUGGGGAGCCCACCGAUUAGAUACUCUGGUAUACACGCCGUAAACUAUGUCUACUUCGGGGUGUUGCCUCCCCGCCGUGGCUUUCUGAUCUGCCGCUUUAGUAGACCGCCUGGGGGAGUACGGCCGCGCGAUUUAAACUCACAUAAAUUAACACGGGCCCGCACAGCGGUGCAGCAAGUGGUUUAUUCUAUGCACCCCCGUAUCUUACCUCCGCUUGACAUGCAGUAAAUUGUCCUGAGAUCGAUUGGUGCUUCAGGAAUAAUGAUAUAAGUGCUACAUCGCUCUCUUCAACUCAAGUGAUGUAUGUUCGGAGACUGCUGCACUACACAACAGUCAUCCUUGUUGUCCGGCGGUAGUGCGAGAAAUCAAUGAAGCGUCGGUGCGAACGGAAAGGAGGUGGGG
rnacentral:rRNA from 1 species